rnacentral:rRNA from 1 species
GACGAACGCUGGCGGCGUGCUUAACACAUGCAAGUCGAACGGAAAGGCCCUGCUUUUGUGGGGUACUCGAGUGGCGAACGGGUGAGUAACACGUGAGUAACCUGCCCUUGACUUUGGGAUAACUUCAGGAAACUGGGGCUAAUACCGGAUAGGAGCUCCUGCUGCAUGGUGGGGUUUGGACAGUUUCGGCGGUUGGGGAUGGACUCGCGGCUUAUUAGCUUGUUGGUGGGGUAGUGGCUUACCAAGGCUUUGACGGGUAGCCGGCCUGAGAGGGUGACCGGAAACAUUGGGACUGAGAUACGGCCCAGAAUCCUAAGGGAGGCAGCAGUGGGGAAAAUUGCACAAUGGGCGGAAGCCUGAUGCAGCAACGAAGCGUGAGGGAUGACGGCCUUAGGGUUGUAAACCGCUUUCGCCUGUGAAGAAGCAGGAGUGACGGUAAUGGGUAAAGAAGCACAGGCUAACUACGUG